GGGACCAGCGCGGGUCUAGCUGCUGCCGCCAUCCCCACCAUCCCUGACCGCGCCUGCCCGGGCUCCGCGCCAGGAGGAGCGGCCAGGCCCAGCCCCGGCACCGCGCGCUCGGGGACCCCGACGGCGCCCAGCCCGGCGAGGGGCCUCAGGGGGAGGACGAGGAGGAAAGGCGGCCUCGCCGGGGACCCGGCCAUGGCGCUGGACUUCUUGGCUGGAUGCGCGGGGGCCAUCCAGCGGGGUUGGGGCUACGGAGCCGACCCCCUACUCGGCUGGCCUUGGAGGGCACUGAACCACUCUGGCGCCGAGUCACGCCUUGGAACGCCGCCCCUUCCUACGCGGUUUUGUGAGCUGUUGGGGGCGGAAGGGGGGUGGUGGGUGGGUCGGGCGAGCCGGUGUGGGGCACCUUCUCCGAGGCGCGGUCGCGGCUCUGGGGUUCCUCCCAUGCAGUUGUCCCCGGGAGGGCCCGGGCGGGCGUGCAGUCCAGGCUCUCCCAUGCCCCGACCGUGGGCGUCGGGCACGGCACUUCCCUGUUGGGCCUCUGGCUUCUCUGCUUUUACCUUGAGGGUUAAUUUAUUCACCAGGAUUUAGAUGUCGGGGGCGGGGGAGGGUGGUUGGCGGCGGGAGUUGCUGAGAGGGCCGGCCGCUUAUCCCUGUUUGGUCCCACUUUUCUCCCAGCACCUGCCCUUGUUCACCGCCUCUUCAUCUACUUGGAUUUGGCUCGAAUAAACCCUCAGCUCCCGGCCAGCGCUGAGAGCCCUGGCGGAAGAGUGGGUAGCGGUGGCCUUAAGUAUUAAAUCUGUGGCGUCGGAGCCUGCUUCUUGGGGGAGAGACUCGUUGAAAAGGGAGUGUGUUGGGGAGGUGUUGUGCGCUGAGGGGAGUUAGAACUUCCCGGUCGGUUACCCAGUGGGAAGCUGCGGGGCACAAAGCCCAGAAUUUGCUGCUAAUCGCUGGGUGCCCUGGAGACAGAGGGGGCGUGUCCUCUGCGGAUUCCAUUCUCACCUUCCCCUCCCGCUUCUGAUCUCGCUGUUUGCUCCACCCUUGCUCCCCACC
rnacentral:lncRNA from 1 species